GACGAACGCUGGCGGCGUGCUUAACACAUGCAAGUCGAACGGAAAGGCCCUGCUUUUGUGGGGUGCUCGAGUGGCGAACGGGUGAGUAACACGUGAGUAACCUGCCCUUGACUUUGGGAUAACUUCAGGAAACUGGGGCUAAUACCGGAUAGGAGCUCCUGCUGCAUGGUGGGGGUUGGAAAGUUUCGGCGGUUGGGGAUGGACUCGCGGCUUAUCAGCUUGUUGGUGGGGUAGUGGCUUACCAAGGCUUUGACGGGUAGCCGGCCUGAGAGGGUGACCGGCAAAAUUGGGACUGAGAUACGGCCCAGACUCCUACGGGAGGAAGCAGUGGGGAAUAUUGCACAAUGGGCGGAAGCCUGAUGCAGAAACGCCGCGUGCGGGAUGACGGCCUUCGGGUUGUAAACCGCUUUCGCCUGUGACGAAGCGUGAGUGACGGUAAUGGGUAAAGAAGCACCGGCUAACUACGUG
rnacentral:rRNA from 1 species